rnacentral:tRNA from 1 species
AGUAGAGUCAGCUAAUUAAGCUCUUGGGCCCAUACCCCAAAAAUGUUGGUUAAAAUCCUUCCUAUACCA